CCUACGGGAGGCAGCAGUAGGGAAUCUUCCGCAAUGGACGAAAGUCUGACGGAGCAACGCCGCGUGAACGAUGAAGGCCUUCGGGUCGUAAAGUUCUGUUGUCAGGGAAGAACAAGUAUCGGAGUAACUGCCGGUACCUUGACGGUACCUGACCAGAAAGCCACGGCUAACUACGUGCCAGCAGCCGCGGUAAUACGUAGGUGGCAAGCGUUGUCCGGAAUUAUUGGGCGUAAAGCGCGCGCAGGCGGUUCCUUAAGUCUGAUGUGAAAGCCCCCGGCUCAACCGGGGAGGGUCAUUGGAAACUGGGGAACUUGAGUGCAGAAGAGGAGAGCGGAAUUCCACGUGUAGCGGUGAAAUGCGUAGAGAUGUGGAGGAACACCAGUGGCGAAGGCGGCUCUCUGGUCUGUAACUGACGCUGAGGCGCGAAAGCGUGGGGAGCGAACAGGAUUAGAUACCCUGGUAGUCCACGCCGUAAACGAUGAGUGCUAAGUGUUAGAGGGUUUCCGCCCUUUAGUGCUGCAGCAAACGCAUUAAGCACUCCGCCUGGGGAGUACGGCCGCAAGGCUGAAACUUAAAGGAAUUGACGG
rnacentral:rRNA from 1 species